rnacentral:lncRNA from 1 species
GUAGAGAUUAUAUAACAAAAAUAAAUAAAAUAUGUUCGGUAUAUAAUGGUAUAUUUAAUUAAUUUUAUCUUCCGAUUAAAUUCAAUUUUUUAAAUUAUUUUCAAUAAUACAGGGUAUCCAAACUCCCAUACGUAUGUUUUUCAAAUAUCUCUCGAGGACGUUCUCUCUUCUCCGUAGGACAUUUUCUCUCCCUUUUGAAGGUAUAUUUCUCUCUCGCAACAUGGGAAUUUUCAUCGCCACAAUGAUUCUUUAUUGUAUUCCAUUCCUUAUGUUGAAUUUCAUUCCCACUAACGUGUUUCACCGUUGGCAACAUAAUUUGUAUGGGCCAGCAACAUGCUGAGAAAAGAAAGCAGCAUGAUGCGAAUAAUAAGCAGCGGUGUUCCCCAACAUUUUUCUUGGAAUAAGCAACAUCCCUUUGGAGGGAUGGAUGUCCUCGAGUUGAGAAAAUUAUGGAAAUCUUUUACUCUAAUCAAUGAAAAAACAAGUAAAUCUGCAUUGGAAAGAUAUCUUAACAAAUUUUGCAUAAUAUAGAAACAUUAAGCCAUUAUUAUGUUUAACAGCAGCUUUGAAAACGAAAUGGUAAUAUUAAAUAAUGGAAGCAGGGUACGCAAAG